rnacentral:misc_RNA from 1 species
UCCGGUUUGUCACCGGCAGUCAUCUUAGAGAGCCCAUCCUUACAUGCUGGCAACUAAGAUCAAGGGUUGCGCUCGUUGCGGGACUUAACCCAACAUCUCACGACACGAGCUGACGACAACCAUGCACCACCUGUCUCCUUUGUCCCGAAGGCCUACGAUAUCUCUACCGUAUUCAAAGGGAUGUCAAGACCUGGUAAGGUUCUUCGCGUUGCUUCGAAUUAAACCACAUACUCCACUGCUUGUGCGGGUCCCCGUCAAUUCCUUUGAGUUUCAGUCUUGCGACCGUACUCCCCAGGCGGAAUGCUUAAUGUGUUAACUUCGGCACCCAGGGCAUCGAAGCCCCGAACACCUAGCAUUCAUCGUUUACGGCGUGGACUAC